rnacentral:rRNA from 1 species
GUGGGGAAUCUUCCGCAAUGGACGAAAGUCUGACGGAGCAACGCCGCGUGGGUGACGAAGGCCUUCGGGUUGUAAAGCCCUGUCUUCAGGGAAGAAAAAAAUGACGGUACCUGAGGAGGAAGCCACGGCUAACUACGUGCCAGCAGCCGCGGUAACACGUAGGAGGCAAGCGUUAUUCGGAUUUACUGGGCGUAAAGCGCGUGCAGGCGGUUUGGAAAGUUGGAUGUGAAAGCUCCUGGCUCAACUGGGAGAGGUCGUUCAAUACUUCCAGACUUGAGAGUGGUAGAGGGAGGUGGAAUUCCGGGUGUAGUGGUGAAAUGCGUAGAUAUCCGGAGGAACACCAGUGGCGAAAGCGGCCUCCUGGACCACUUCUGACGCUCAGACGCGAAAGCUAGGGUAGCAAACGGGAUUAGAUACCCGUGUAGUCC